ACGGGCGAGUAACACGUGGGCAACCUGCCCUUGAGACUGGGAUAACUUCGGGAAACCGGAGCUAAUACCGGAUAAUAUGAGGAACCUCCUGGUUCUUUAUUGAAAGAUGGUUUCGGCUAUCACUUAAGGAUGGGCCCGCGGCGCAUUAGCUAGUUGGUGAGGUAACGGCUCACCAAGGCGACGAUGCGUAGCCGACCUGAGAGGGUGAUCGGCCACACUGGGACUGAGACACGGCCCAGACUCCUACGGGAGGCAGCAGUAGGGAAUCUUCCACAAUGGACGAAAGUCUGAUGGAGCAACGCCGCGUGAGUGAUGAAGGCCUUCGGGUCGUAAAGCUCUGUUGUUAGGGAAGAACAAGUGCGAGAGUAACUGCUCGCACCUUGACGGUACCUAACCAGAAAGCCACGGCUAACUACGUGCCAGCAGCCGCGGUAAUACGUAGGUGGCAAGCGUUAUCCGGAAUUAUUGGGCGUAAAGCGCGCGCAGGUGGUUUCUUAAGUCUGAUGUGAAAGCCCACGGCUCAACCGUGGAGGGUCAUUGGAAACUGGGGAACUUGAGUGCAGAAGAGGAAAGUGGAAUUCC
rnacentral:rRNA from 1 species